AGCCUAGGCUGGCUGCCUGAGAGUAGCGAGUGACAGGUAAGGGCUCUGAACCUUCCUGCGUGCUACCCAAGGAGUGCCUAGGGCUACCAGGAGGCCCAGGGAGGAACCUUGAGACCUGAGAAAGGCUUUUCUUCCCCGAGAGGACCACUGCUCAGGCUCAGAGGCCAUGGGGUGAAGUGCACAAAAAAGUGGGCGUCCAGCCAUGCUCUAAGUCCCCCGAAGAUGAAGACCAGGGAGCAGCUUCCUCCAAUGAAGCAGCAGCAAUCAGAGGACCAGGAGGCUGAAGCCCUGAGCCCAGCCAGAGGCAGGAUCAGCCAAGUCUGGGACAGGCUUCAAUUAUUUUAGGCAGAGCUUCUGGUUCCUGGGCCUUCAGACUUGGACUAGAACUUCACUACCAGCUUUCCUGGGUCUCCAGCUUGCAGAGAGCAGAUCGCAGAACUUCUUAGCCUCCAUAAUCACAACGUGUUUGCUUCCCCUUCCACCAUGAUUGUAAGUUUCCUGAGGCCUCCCCAGUCCUGCAGAACUGCUUUGAAGAAGACCACUGCGUCGGUAUUUGUGAAAUGUUUUGAGCCUCUGGAUUUAAAUAAGCUCCCGCCCCCACCCAGGCCUGCUCAGAAGAACCCAAGCCACUCAGAAGCAGGAGGCAGCCUUCACCCCAACCAGACCAAUAUCCGUUCCAGACUCAGGAUUACAACAAUCUGGGAGAGGGUCAACCAAGUCAGAGUCCCACAUGGCAGAAGAGCUGCUUUAGCUUAAGACUCUUAACUCUUUUUCUUCGGGGCAGGAAAGGUUUGAGCCAAUGAAGGAUGAGGCUUUCCAGGCCCAGGACACAACCUUGAUCCAAGGCCUAGUUGUGGCUUUAAUUUUUGUAAAUCAAGCCUCAAGUUUUUCUUCACUCUUUUAGCCAAAGAUAUGUUUCCCAGGAUGCAUGAAAUAAAUAAAUAAAAUGUACCAAAUUA
rnacentral:lncRNA from 10 species